rnacentral:tRNA from 1 species
UAAAGUGUAAGCUAAAUUUAAGCUAAAGAGCUCAUAACUCUUCUAUAGGAACCCCUCACUUUAA